GGACUACAAGGGUAUCUAAUCCCGUUCGCUCCCCUGGCUUUCGCGCCUCAGCGUCAGAAGGGGCCCAGCGCGCCGCUUUCGCCACCGGAGUUCCGCCGGAUAUCAACGCAUUUCACCGCUCCACCCGGCGUUCCGCGCGCCCCUACCCCCCUCCAGGCCGGCAGUCCCCGCGGCCGUUCCCCGGUUGAGCCGGGGGAUUUCACCGCGGGCUUGGCGGCCCGCCUACGCGCCCUUUAAGCCCAGUGAUUCCGAACAACGUUCGCACGGUUCGUCUUACCGCGGCGGCUGGCAC
rnacentral:rRNA from 3 species